GUAAAAACAAGAGCCCUGGUUGCUCAGAACAGUUCUAGUUCUCCCCUGGCUGUGCCUGAUGGAGGCAGAGGACAAGAUGGUUCAGCAUGUAACCCUUUCCUACCACAGAGCCAUGCCUUCACUUAAUGCCCCAAAAGGUGCAGCCGGUAUGUGAACCCCAUCUGGCUGACUCCUGGGGGCCCCAGCCAGGGCAGGGUGUGUGUGUGCAGAAUAAGCAGGGCCAGGGCCCCGCCCUGGCAUGGCUCAGCAGAGCCCUCCUCCCUCCCACCUCCCACCCUGCUGCCUUCAUCCCCCAGGCGCUGAAGUACGCCUUCCAGACCCACGACCGCCUGUGCUUUGUGAUGGAGUAUGCCAACGGGGGUGAGCUGUUCUUCCACCUGUCCCGGGAGCGUGUCUUCACAGAGGAGCGGGCCCGGUUUUAUGGUGCAGAGAUUGUCUCGGCUCUUGAGUACUUGCACUCACGGGACGUGGUAUACCGCGACAUCAAGCUGGAAAACCUCAUGCUGGACAAAGAUGGCCACAUCAAGAUCACUGACUUUGGCCUCUGCAAAGAGGGCAUCAGUGACGGGGCCACCAUGAAAACCUUCUGUGGGACCCCGGAGUACCUGGCGCCUGAGGUGUCUGGGGUUGGCGGGGGUGCUGGAGGACAAUGACUAUGGCCGGGCCGUGGACUGGUGGGGGCUGGGUGUGGUCAUGUACGAGAUGAUGU
rnacentral:sRNA from 1 species